rnacentral:rRNA from 1 species
GAUGAACGCUGGCGGCGUGCCUAAUACAUGCAAGUCGAGCGAAGCGGGGACGGGUGAGUAACACGUGGAUGACCUCCUAUAAGACUGGGAUAACUUCGGGAAACCGUAGCUAAACCGGCUACUUAUAGAUGGUUCCGUGAUGCAUUAGCUAGUUGGUCAGGUAACGGCUUACCAAGGCAACGAUGCAUAGCCGACCUGAGAGGGUGAUCAGCCACACUGGAACUGAGACACGGUCCAGACUCCUACGGGAGGCAGCAGUGGGGAAUCUUCCGCAAUGGGCGAAAGCCUGACGGAGCAACGCCGCGUGAAUGAUGAAGGCCUUCGGGUCGUAAAACUCUGUUAUUAGGGAAGCGGUACCUAAUCAGAAAGCCACGGCUAACUCCGUGCCAGCAGCCGCGGUAAUAC